rnacentral:rRNA from 1 species
GACGAACGCUGGCGGCGUGCUUAACACAUGCAAGUCGAACGGAAAGGCCCUGCUUGCAGGGUACUCGAGUGGCGAACGGGUGAGUAACACGUGGGUGAUCUGCCCUGCACUUCGGGAUAAGCCUGGGAAACUGGGUCUAAUACCGGAUAGGAGCCAGUUUUAGUGUGAUGGUUGGAAAGUUUUUUCGGUGUAGGAUGAGCUCGCGGCCUAUCAGCUUGUUGGUGGGGUAAUGGCCUACCAAGGCGGCGACGGGUAGCCGGCCUGAGAGGGUGGACGGCCACAUUGGGACUGCGAUACGGCCCAGACUCCUACGGGAGGCAGCAGUGGGGAAUAUUGCACAAUGGGCGCAAGCCUGAUGCAGCGACGCCGCGUGGGGGAUGACGGCCUUCGGGUUGUAAACUCCUUUCGCUAGGGACGAAGCUUUUGUGACGGUACCUAGAUAAGAAGCACCGGCUAACUACGUG